AUUGAACGCUGGCGGCAGGCCUAACACAUGCAAGUCGAACGGUAGCACAGAGAGCUUGCUCUCGGGUGACGAGUGGCGGACGGGUGAGUAAUGUCUGGGAAACUGCCCGAUGGAGGGGGAUAACUACUGGAAACGGUAGCUAAUACCGCAUACCGUCGCAAGACCAAAGUGGGGGACCUUCGGGCCUCACACCAUCGGAUGUGCCCAGAUGGGAUUAGCUAGUAGGUGGGAUAAUGGCUCACCUAGGCGACGAUCGCUAGCUGGUCUGAGAGGAUGGCCAGCCACACUGUAACUGAGACACGGGCCAGACACCGACGGGAGGCAGGGGUGGGGAAUAUUGCACGAUGGGCGCAAGCCUGAUGCAGCCAUGCCGCGUGUAUGAAGAAGGCCUUCGGGUUGUAAAGUACUUUCAGCGGGGAGGAAGGCGGUGAAGUUAAUAGCUUCACCGAUUGACGUUACCCGCAGAAGAAGCACCGGCUAACUCCGUGCCAGCCGCCGCCGUAA
rnacentral:rRNA from 1 species